CCGAGCAACAGGCAACCUCACGUCCACCGCCAUAUCCUGCAGCCAGAGCACGCCGCGUCACGUGGGCACCGCCAUACCGGAUAUCCGGUUAGGUCUCCAGAAGACUGUGAGGGCCCUGGAGGCCAUGUUAUCUUAGGGUGAACGUCUAAAUAUAACGAGGAGGACGCAGAACAACCGGUUGGAAUACCCAGGAAGGUGCUCUGAGAAUUACUGUACCAAACCAACAGCUCCUGGUCCGGAGGGAUAGUCUGCGGGGAAAGAAAUGGAGACAUUCAGGAACCUGCGCCAAAGCAUUGCGUCCCAUCAUACAGUGCAGCAUCACAUAAAAGAGAGAAGAAAGGCAAUAAGUGCUAGAGGAAAGUGGAUGGAUGUGACGGCUUCUAGUCCGGGAAUGAUCUUCUGUUCUACCGUCAUGGAGCAUUAACCCUCCCCGUCCCCACGGUCUAUUUAUCAUGACAGCGCGGAUCACUCCAACUUGCGAAGAGAGAUAUAUCCCAAAAUUUUAUUUUAAUUACAACAAUAUAAAAGGUUAAGAAUCUGUCACCCGGGCAACUAAUGACUGCACCAUAAAGCAGAGGAUUCGG